CUGACUGUCAUGGAUGCGAUUCGAAGCUGUGGGUUCCUGGCGUCGAGCGUGGGCUGGUCCCGCCUCUGGACCUGCCUCUGCAACCCCAUGGUCCCCACUUUGCAGCCAGACGGCAAGAGCCUCAGAUCA